CCUACGGGAGGCAGCAGUGGGGAAUCUUGCGCAAUGGGCGAAAGCCUGACGCAGCAACGCCGCGUGCGGGAAGAAGGCCUUCGGGUUGUAAACCGCUUUCAGCAGGAACGAAAAUGACGGUACCUGCAGAAGAAGGUGCGGCCAACUAUGUGCCAGCAGCCGCGGUGAUACAUAGGCACCAAGCGUUGUCCGGAUUUAUUGGGCGUAAAGAGCUCGUAGGCGGUUCAGUCAGUCGGGUGUGAAAACUCUGGGCUUAACCCAGAGCCUGCACCCGAUACUGCUGUGACUAGAGUUCGGUAAGGGAGCGGGGAAUUCCUGGUGUAGCGGUGAAAUGCGCAGAUAUCAGGAGGAACACCGAUGGCGAAGGCACCGCUCUGGGCCGAAACUGACGCUGAGGAGCGAAAGCAUGGGUAGCAAACAGGAUUAGAUACCCUGGUAGUCCAUGCCGUAAACGUUGGGCACUAGGUGUGGGUUCCAAUCAACGGAAUCCGNGCCGUCGCUAACGCAUUAAGUGCCCCGCCUGGGGGAGGUACGGUCGCGAGACGUAAACUUAAAGUAGUAAGUUAGUUACGUCGUUGAGACGUUGCCGACGGCGACGACGAGGGAGGAGG
rnacentral:rRNA from 1 species